GAUCCUAGGCUUAGGAUGAAGCUGGCGGCGUGCCUAAUACAUGCAAGUCGAACGAGGUAGCAAUACCGAGUGGCGAACGGGUGAGUAACACGUAGGUAACCUGCCUUACAGUUUGGGAUACCCUGGCGAAAGCUAGGCUAAUACCGAAUAAUUGGAUUGGAGGCAUCUCCGACCUACUAAAAGGGGCCCUUAAAGCCUCGCUGAAUGAUGGACCUGCGGCGCAUUAGCUAGUUGGUGAGAUAAUAGCCCACCAAGGCGAGGAUGCGUAGCCGACCUGAGAGGGUGAACGGCCACACUGGAACUGAGACACGGUCCAGACUCCUACGGGAGGCAGCAGUAGGGAGUUUUCGGCAAUGGGGGCAACCCUGACCGAGCAACGCCGCGUGAAUGAUGGAAAGGUCUUCGGAUUGUAAAGUUCUGUUAUAAGGGAAAAAUGAUAGGGUGAGGAAAUGCUCUCUAUUUGAUGGUACCUUAUUAGAAAGCCACGGCUAACUACGUGCCAGCAGCUGC
rnacentral:rRNA from 1 species